rnacentral:rRNA from 1 species
AAUUAGAGGCUGGAAUGAAUGAAUAUACGAGAGUUUAGCUGUUUCAUUUUUAUUUCUAAAAAUUAUCCUUUAAGUGAAGAGACUUAGAUACUAUAAAAAGACAAAAAGACCCUAUUGAGCUUUAUUUUACAAGUUAAACUCCUAUAGUUUUACAAAAGAACUUUAUCUAUAAAAAUUUUGUUGGGGCGACAAGAGAAGACCUAAAUCUUCUCUACACUAUAAGAAAAUUCUUCUACUAAUGAUCCGUAAUAACGAUUAACAGAAACAGCUACCAUAGGGAUAACAGGCUAAUCUUCUUUGAGAGUCCAAAUUGACAAGAAGGAUUGGCACCUCGAUGUUGGCUUAGGAUACCUGUUAGAUGCAGAAGUCUUCCAAGUGGGUUUGUUCAACCUUUAAUAUCCUACGUGAUCUGAGUUC